AGAAUCAACGCUGGCGGCGUGCCUAACACAUGCAAGUCGAACGAGAAAGUGGAGCAAUCCACGAGUAAAGUGGCGCACGGGUGAGUAACACGUGACUAACCUACCCUUGAGUGGGGAAUAACUUCGGGAAACCGAGGCUAAUACCGCAUAACACCUACGGGUCAAAGGAGCAAUUCGCUUAAGGAGGGGGUCGCGGCAGAUUAGUUAGUUGGCGGGGUAAUGGCCCACCAAGACGGUGAUCUGUAU
rnacentral:rRNA from 1 species